rnacentral:rRNA from 1 species
UACGUAGGGCGCAAGCGUUGUCCGGAAUUAUUGGGCGUAAAGAGCUCGUAGGCGGCUUGUCGCGUCGGCUGUGAAAACCUGGGGCUCAACCCCGGGCCUGCAGCCGAUACGGGCAAGCUAGAGUUCGGUAGGGGAGACUGGAAUUCCUGGUGUAGCGGUGAAAUGCGCAGAUAUCAGGAGGAACACCGGUGGCGAAGGCGGGUCUCUGGGCCGAUAUUGACGCUGAGGCACGAAAGCGUGGGGAGCAAACAGG